rnacentral:rRNA from 1 species
CCUACGGGAGGCAGCAGUGGGGAAUAUUGCACAAUGGGCGCAACCCUGAUGCAGCGACGCCGCGUGAGUGAGGAAGUAUUUCGGUAUGUAAAGCUCUAUCAGCAGGGAAGAAAAUGACGGUACCUGACUAAGAAUCCACGGCUAACUACGUGCCAGCAGCCGCGGGAGUACGUAGGGGGCAAGCGUUAUCCGGCUUUACUGGGUGUAAAGGGAGUGUAGACGGCUGAUCAAGUCAGAAGUGAAAACGCAGGGCUCAACAUUGGGGCGGCUUUUGAAACUGAGUAGCUAGAGUGCGGGAGAGGGAAGCGGAAUUCCUAGUGUAGCGGUGAGAUGCGUAGAUAUUAGGAGGAACACCAGUGGCGAAGGCGGAUUACUGGACUGUAACUGACGUUGAGGCGCGAAAGCGUGGGGAGCAAACAGGAUUAGAUACCCUUGUAGUC